rnacentral:rRNA from 1 species
AUUGAACGCUGGCGGCAGGCCUAACACAUGCAAGUCGAACGAGUGGCGGACGGGUGAGGAAUGUCUGGGAAACUGCCUGAAGGAGGGGGAUAACUACUGGAAACGGUAGCUAAUACCGCAUACCAUCAGAUGUGCCCAGAUGGGAUUCGCUAGUAGGGGGGGUAACGGCGCACCUAGGCGACGACCCCUAGCUGGUCUGAGAGGAUGACCAGCCACACUGGAACUGAGACACGGUCCAGACGCCUCCGGGAGGCAGCAGUGGGGAAUAUUGCACAAGGGGCGCAAGCCUGAUGCAGCCAUGCCGCGUGUAUGAAGAAGGCCUUCGGGUUAUAAAGUACUUUCAGCGGGGAGGCGUUACCCGCAGAAGAAGCACCGGCUAACUCCGUGCCAGCAGCCGCGGUAAUAC